rnacentral:rRNA from 1 species
UUGACGGAGAGUUUGAUCCUGGCUCAGGACGAACGCUGGCGGCGUGCUUAACACAUGCAAGUCGAACGAGGUCCAACCGAACUUCGGUUUGGUGACGACCUAGUGGCGAACGGGUGCGUAACACGUGAGAAACCUGCCCCGGUCUCUGGGAUAACAGUCGGAAACGACUGCUAAUACCGGAUACCGUCGGACCACCGCAUGGUGGACCGACGAAAGGGUUACCGGAUCGGGAGGGUCUCGCGGCCUAUCAGCUUGUUGGUGAGGUAACGGCUCACCAAGGCAUUGACGGGUAGCUGGUCUGAGAGGAUGAUCAGCCACACUGGGACUGAGACACGGCCCAGACUCCUACGGGAGGCAGCAGUGGGGAAUAUUGCACAAUGGGCGAAAGCCUGAUGCAGCAACGCCGCGUGCGGGAAGAAGGCC